CAAUUCUGAUUUAAUGACUAGUAUACACAACCUCAGGUACUGGUAGAUGAUUACACCAUACUGAGUUACGCACUGACUAAUUAGCAUCUCCAUUUCUCUCUACCCAUCAUGCUUAGUGAUAAGCUAUAUUCGCCAUCUGCACUCGAUCACAUUGAGAACACAUUUGACAUAGGAGGAGAGUGUUGUUUAAUUUGAGUUAUAGAGACUGAUUAAACAUAAAGUUAUUCGGAUCAUUUUCUUUCAGUCUCACCAUGUUCUGAAAUUAGAUUUUUUUGUUGUUGUCAGGACUGCGUGUUAUAAAAGGAUACAGGACAUAAAAUAAACGUCAUACUGAGUGUGUGAGUGAGAGGUCAUUCUAAAAUGGCGGAUUCUUAUCAUAAAGUAGUGGCUGUGAUUUCACAAGCACCUGAGCUUAGAACAGAUCGUGACGUCACAAUGCUUUCAUCAUGGUUCAGGAAGAAGAGUGAUCUCUUUCGAGACCUAGCAGAUGCGAUUCUUCAUGACUUGGUAAGGCACUGUCGAUUUCAAAGAUUCAGAGAAAAUGACGUCAUCAUCAGACAGGGAGACAGAGGUGACAGUUUCUUCACCAUACUAUCAGGGUCUGUUGGAAUCUACGUUGCCAAUGACGACGAGGGGGAGGGGCCUAAUAAUCUUGAUGAUGAUUCUCCGAGAAAUAGGGAUGGAGCCGACGCAUCGUUGGGGGCGUACAUCCGAUCAUUGGGAUCGGGAAAGAGUUUUGGGGAAGUAGCUCUGAUAGACUCCGCAAACCGAAGGGGAGCUUCGGUUAUUGCUGAAGAUGAAUCGGACAUGAUCGUAGUUGAUCGGAAUCUGUACACCCGUUCGUUAAAAGCUGCUCAGAAGAGAGAUUUGGAAGAAAGGAUUUCUUUUGUAGAGAAUCAUCCAUUGUUUGGCAAAUGGAAGCCAAAAUACAAGAAUUACAUGGCAAUGGGGAUAUCAAGAAAGAUAUAUCGCUAUGGCAACCACAUCGCCCAACAAGGUGACGUCAUCAAGAAGGUUAAUUUCAUUCUUUCUGGUACUGCAUUAAUCACUGUUGAUAGAAAGAUGAAAGGCGAAACUGAGCAUGCGCAGUUAGACAGUCGUCCGGAUGUCACGAAAUCACACAAGAAUAGAAAGGAUAAUAAAGCAUUCAAGUUUGAUUCUAUGGUUGAGAUCUGUCUCAUCGGUCAACGGGCUAUCAUAGGUGAUAUCGAAGCUGUAUGCGGCCUGUGUAAACACACCCAUAAUAUCACGUGUAUUGAACCUGUACACACAUAUGAAAUGGAAAUGCGCAGCUUUCACAAGCUCGUCAUGCGCAGACAUCCCCAAACUGUAAAGAUGAUCAGAGCAAUGGUGGCUUUCAAGAUACAAAAUAGAUGGGAACGCAUUAGAAAUGAAAAGGUACCUAUCUAUCGGACAAUACUUGAAAAGUUACUGCUCAACGAUCUUCAGCAAAAUGACGUCAAGGUCGCACCUGGAAGUAGAGCGCCACUUUCGGUAGGACAAAAAAGACUAACGAUCAACUCACAAGGACCUGGUUCUCUCUACCGUAAACUCAAAGAAAAACGAGAAAGACAUCUUCUUCUGUCGCGUCGGCAUUCACAGUUGCAACUUCCCGGGCUUGGGGAUGCGCAUAGCAGUGGAGCGGUCAUGUCAUCGAGAUCCUCGACACGCAGGGGUGAUCGGGGCCAUUCCGCUAAAUUAACAUCUCACAAACAACCGGACUCCGGUGCAUUGCCAAGCCUCUCUGUAGGACAUAAUCCUCAUGGUUACCACACGGUGGUAAACAUCAAUGGUCAAGGGAAAGAGAACUCUAAGACCGUCGAAGAAAAUGGCACUAAUAGUAAGAUUAAGUGGAUCUUACCCGAUGAUGGAUCAAUUCAUAUAAAAGAUAACAUGGAUAAAGAGGGUUCCUCAAGGUUAGGUUCUAGGUCCAAUCUUACAAUGACUGAAAUGGAGGAAGGUGCAGAAGGUAUAUUGGUGUCAGGAUCGAGUCGGAAGUCGCCUGGAAGAGAGAGUGUAAAGAUAACAUUGGAACAUGGUAAAGAAGGAAAAGAGAGUGAACGAAAAGUGUUUGUUACAGAGCGGAUCCAUAAUGCAAAAGAGACAGCAACUUCUUCGAAACAAAGUGUCGAACAAGAGUCAGAACUAGCUUGGGAUAAUGCUUCUUCUCGUAUACCACAAUAUGACAACGAUAUUAAAGAAAAGGAACGCGAUUAUUAUUCAGAACUGUCUGACGAGUACGCAAGGGAUGUAUUCGAGGAGAGUGGAUUUGAAAGUACUGACAAGGAACAUAUAGGUGACGUCACAGAGGAAGGCGAAGUUCAGUUGAGGAAUGAUGUCAGAACAUCUUCAACAAAGAUCAAAAGGUGUUCGAAUACCCGUAUGUCUUCAGAUUCCUGCAGCGCUCUGGACCAAGAGGAUUUACUUCAAAUUGCAUAUGAAACCUAUGUUUCAGUUAGCAGCGAAAUCAAAAAGUUUCUUGUUAAGGUCAUUGCGGAUGCCAAGAGAUAUGAAAGCAGUCACCCAGCGGGUGUAGAAUCUCGACUAAGGCCUAUUAAUUCAAAGCUGCCACGAUUUUUAGAUGAACAACGGGAAGGUAUCGGUCGAGAUGACACGUCAGUUUCACCAGCUAGAGGCCGUAGAGGCAUUCAAUCCUCUUCAAGUCAACGGAGGAGUUCAAAGGAACGACAGAAGCGACAUCAUGAAGCAACAACAAAGUCUACCAGAGGACAAGGGAGACAACGAUCAAGGAGUGAAGGCGAUACGGAGCUGAGAUCAUCGGAACUCACUAAGCUUCCUUCUAUCAAACAAAAAAGUUUUACAUCACCCAAGACGUACUACGAGAUAACUAAAGAGGAGCAAAAGGUCAGAGAAACAGCGCCCUCUACGUUAGAUCUUAUAUAUCGUCAGUUUGGUGCAGUCAAAAAGAUGAAGGCCGGACGUCAAUAUAGUGAAGACGAUUAUAAGAAACUCAAAGACAUGCUUAGAGCCCAACAAAAGCGAUACAUCAGAUACCAGAUAAACCUUUAAAUAGAGUUUUAUAGACCAUGGCCCUGGGAAGCAAACUGAAAAAGCAAAUAAUUGCGGCAAGUGAGGGCGAUAUCCAAGAACUUCAAAUUAGAACAUCGCUUCCAGAUUUCCAGGGUAGGUGAUGCACCUUCAAGAAGCUGGCGAGGUCUAUUUGGUCUGUCUAUUUGAAGACAACGUUUUUAUAAAAAAAAAACAUUGUUUCCAUUCAGGAGGCCUUACGCUUAAGAGCCAUUAAAAAGGUACCAGAAAUGACAAUAACAAAUUCCCCUAGAUAUAUUCAAUUUGAUACGAGCUUUUGAUAUUUACUAUAAUUAUUAUCAUAUUUGUAAUUUCAAGUUAUUGCUCUAUCAGGCAAAUUUUCUACAUGUAACUACGUAAGGAAAGAGAGAAGUACCAUCAUGUGUACGUUAUACCUUGUAUUCAUUUGU
rnacentral:misc_RNA from 1 species